UAAGGAGAUAAAAAAAGCCUAAUCUCCUAAUAACCUAAGAGAACAAGACUAGCGGGGAGGACCCUUUCUAGAGAACGGAUUCGCCGCUACUCCCUUUCCUUCUCCAACAUCCAGCUGCGAUCCCAUCUUCUUCACCUAUCAAAAUCGCCAAGAAAUAGCCGCACGCCACCAGCCUUCUUCAACCCAUAACUAGCCAGUCGCUGCCGCUGACCUCGCCUGAAACAAAAAAAAAACACGAGAGCUUCUGGACAAAGAAUUUGGGACGAAAUUUUGGGGAUAACAUUGGGGAGGAAAGGCAGAGAAACGAGUUCUUCUUCUUUCCAUUUUUCCAUUUUAGUUUUUCUUCAAGUUUUCUCUUAAAUUUCAAAAAAAAAAAAAAUCAGAAAAGUAAAGAUAUAUUCUGGAAUUUCUUCCUUUUUGAUUUGGUUUUCAAAAUGGAAUCAAGUUGAAGUGGGUGUUCGGAUUUGGAGUUUCUGUUCGAGAUCGUUUCCUUGUUUGAAUUCGCAGUUCCUGCUUCAUAUGGUUGUAUUUUCCUCGGGCCUUCAUCUUGUUGAAUCUGUUGGUAAAACUUUCUUUACAUAUUAAAGGAGAAGCACUUAACAGGUAUGGAUCAAUUUGCUAGAGUUUGAGCAUGACAAAUACCCCAAGACCAUUCUAGUCAAGACCAUUGCAUGCACGAGCUGCUUGAGGAAACUUUUUAUUUUUUAGGCUAUUUUAUAUUUUUUUAAUUUUUAGUCUUGUACAAUAGUAUCAAGUCUGUCAGUCUAGUUAAGAUUGUCGAGUCUUUUAUUAUAGUACUUCCCAUUUUGUAUUUGAAAAACCAAAAAGAAUUUUUUUUA